rnacentral:rRNA from 1 species
UACAGAGGGUGCAAGCGUUAAUCGGAAUUACUGGGCGUAAAGCGUGCGUAGACGGUUAUGUAAGUCGGGUGUGAAAGCCCCGGGCUCAACCUGGGAAUGCCAUUUGAGACUGCAUAGCUAGGGUACGGAAGAGGGAAGCGGAAUUUCAGGUGUAGCGGUGAAAUGCGUAGAUAUCUGAAGGAAAACCAGUGGCGAAAGCGGCUUCCUGGUCCAGUACCGACGUUCAGGCACGAAAGCGUGGGGAGCAAACAGG